ACACCGCUGCCUUCUAACACGGACGUUCUCCAGCCUGCAUCAGUCAUCAUAGGACACAGCUCUUUUCAUACCAUCUUCCCAACACAGCGCUGAGGCUCCUGUGGAAUUGCCCUCUGUCUGUCAGCGUUCCUACCUGUGCCUGUGGUCAGUGCUGAUACUCAGGUUUCACAUCAACCAGGAAUGGUACAAGCUUGGCCAGGGACUCCAGGCAGUGGCUGCUGGGUUCUGCAAGGCCUAGGGGCAGGAGCACUGUGGCUUCCCAGGAAUAUCACAAGCAAAUAGUUGUCAGCAAGCCCCAGGUGCACACAGAAUCAAUCUGGAGCUGAAAACAUCCCCGUAGGAAGCGUACACAUCCCUGCUUAUACAGGAACAGAAACAGCAAUAACUUCAGGUCCUGUAAGCUGCAAGUUCAACUCACAGAGAUCAGCCCUGACUUGUCAUCGCUCUCAGCAUGUUGGUGAUGAGAUCAGAGCACUUCACCAAGGACUCAUACUUCCAGCUUGACAAGGGACAGAGGUGAGCGUGUUACACCUCACUGUUACUCCCCUGCAACUGCAGAAACGAACCCAGAGCUCCUCUGUUUAACAUGCAGCCACAGCACUGCCAAUCUAAAAUGGCUGAUCAGUAAUACUUUAAUUGCAGUUUCAUAGAAACAAAUUGCUAUUUAAUUGCAAUAAGCUUGUCUGUGGCUUAGCUGGACUGACAAUAGGCAUACACCUGGUAGUAAGAGUAACAAGCAUCAAGGGUUAUCUGGUACUGCAUGUACAGGAGUCUUAGACAGUGCCAUCAAACCCAGAACACAAUUUCAAACUAAUUAAAUGUAUAACUUUAAAAAAUGUAUAUACAUAAAUUUCCUAAUCUCAAUUUAAUUUUGUAAUAGAACCGUUCAGAAUAAAUACUUGGAAAAAGCUACA
rnacentral:lncRNA from 1 species